GAUCAUGGCUCAGGAUGAACGCUAGCGACAGGCCUAACACAUGCAAGUCGAGGGGCAGCGGGGAGGUAGCAAUACCUUUGCCGGCGACCGGCGCACGGGUGAGUAACACGUAUGCAAUCCACCUGUAACAGGGGGAUAACCCGGAGAAAUCCGGACUAAUACCCCAUAAUAUGGGCGCUCCGCAUGGAGAGUCCAUUAAAGAGAGCAAUUUUGGUUACAGACGAGCAUGCGCUCCA
rnacentral:rRNA from 1 species